rnacentral:rRNA from 1 species
GAUCCUGGCUCAGGAUGAACGCUAGCUACAGGCUUAACACAUGCAAGUCGAGGGGCAGCAUUUUAGUUUGCUUGCAAACUAAAGAUGGCAACCGGCGCACGGGUGAGUAACACGUAUCCAACCUGCCGAUAACUCAGGGAUAGCCUUUCGAAAGAAAGAUUAAUACCUGAUGGCAUAGGAUUAUCGCGUGAUAAUCCUAUUAAAGAAUUUCGGUUAUCGAUGGGGAUGCGUUCCAUUAGG